rnacentral:rRNA from 1 species
UUACCAACUUGACAUGACUUAAUUUCUUCGGCACAGGUGGUGCAUGGUUGUCGUCAGCUCGUGUCGUGAGAUGUUGGGUUAAGUCCCGCAACGAGCGCAACCCUACUUUAGUAGCCAGCAUAUGGGACUCUAGGGGACUGCCGCGGACAAGCGGAGGAAGGUGGGGAUGACGUCAAAUCAUCAUGCCCCUUAUGUUGGGCUACACACGUGCUACAAUGGGUUACAAGGGGCACGGUGACGGGAGCAACCCCAAAAGCAUCCCAGUUCGGAUUGUAGUCUGCAACUCGACUACAUGAAGUUGGAAUCGCUAGUAAUCGCGAUCAGAUGCGCGGUGAAUACGUUCCCGGGCCUUGUACACACCGCCCGUCACACCACGGAAGUUGGAGACCAAC